rnacentral:rRNA from 1 species
AGUGAACGCUGGCGGUAGGCCUAACACAUGCAAGUCGAACGGCAGCACAGUAAGAGCUUGCUCUUACGGGUGGCGAGUGGCGGACGGGUGAGGAAUACAUCGGAAUCUACUUUUUCGUGGGGAAUAACGUAGGGAAACUUACGCUAAUACCGCAUACGACCCACGGGUGAAAGCAGGGGAUCUUCGGACCUUGCGCGAUUGAAUGAGCCGAUGUCGGAUUAGCUAGUUGGCGGGGUAAAGGCCCACCAAGGCGACGAUCCGUAGCUGGUCUGAGAGGAUGAUCAGCCACACUGGAACUGAGACACGGUCCAGACUCCUACGGGAGGCAGCAGUGGGGAAUAUUGGACAAUGGGCGCAAGCCUGAUCCAGCCAUACCGCGUGGGUGAAGAAGGCCUUCGGGUUGUAAAGCCCUUUUGUUGGGAAAGAAAAGCAGCAGGUUAAUACCCCGCUGUUCUGACGGUACCCAAAGAAUAAGCACCGGCUAACUUCGUG